GAAAUGCCUGGUUGUGUGUUACCAUUUUACCACCCAUUCAGGCAGUGACAGGCUUUUGCAGCCUGAACGAGCCAAAUGUUCAGGAGGGAUGGGGGAGGUUGGUUUGUUUUGGCAAGCCCAACCCAAAACUUGUUCAGAGUUUGGUGCUUGAGAAUGUGUCUGCCUUGGCUGAUAUUUCUGUUCUGGUUGUAGUUUCAGUUGGCUCCAAAAUGUCCCUCAGCUCAGUGACAGUGAGGAGAGUGAUGACAACCAGGUUCUUGAAAAGCCUCCUUCUGCACUUGCUCCUCCAAGAUACAGCGUGCUCCUGGACGACCUGCAGCUCAGUGACAGUGAGGAGAGCGAUGACAACCAAGUCAGUUUGGGAUGUUGGACACACCAGGCACACAGACGUGCCUUGGAAUCAUCUCACCUUGUUGCAUUGUUCUGAGUUCCUUGAGCUAACCUAUCCUUCCCCUCUUCUCUUUUUUUUUUUUUUGUGACCAAAACAGGUUGUUGAAAAGCCUCCUUCUGCACUUGUUUCUCCAAGAGACAGGUUUUUUAGCAAACUUCUAGCUAGGCCAGAUAAGGAGAAAAACAAACCUCCUUUUUAUGGGAGGGGGAGAUGGGAAAGGGUUCCUGGUUUCUGUCAUGUCUUGUUAGUCAGAAGCAAUAUUCAAGACAGGCUAAAGUGCCCUGCCCCGUGUGAGCAUUAGAUGAAGAAAGGUGGGGAAGCCCAGAGCUUUUCCUCUAAGAGAGCACUGACCCACAUUUUUGUCUUGACCAAGUAACACAGAUGGAGAAGGGAAAACUUAAGGGGAAGAAUAGAAAACCCAAAAACCAUCCUGAAAUCUGGUAGCCUUUAUUGGAAAUUUUUUUCCAGUUGAAAGGACUGAGGCUUUCAGAAAAGCCCUGGCCAGUUUUGAUGGGUUUUUAAAGUUGAGUUGGCCAAAUGCAGCUUCAGAAUGUAGCAGUGAUGUCCUGCUUACAUAUUUGUCUUAGUGGGUUGAAGUUGAAAUAUUUAUUAUAUUAUGUUUUGAAUAUGGCAAUGUAUUCUUCUGGCCUUCUCCCCUCUCCUCUCAUUGCCAAAACACAGGGUUUCAGUUUUAUUUCUAAAUACUGCCAUGUCAAUAUAAUAAGUAAAUAAUCUUCACCCAUGCUCCUUUGUAAUUUCAUCUCCUGGUGGCUUUGCAGUGCCCUACAGUCCCAGCCCAGGAGUGUGGCAUCAUCUCCAUCCAGCAGCUCGGAGACCAGUGACUCAGAGAGCUCCGUAGACUGGGAGACCGUUUACUCAGAGAGCUCCUCCGACUCGGAGAUGGAGACCAC
ensembl:lncRNA